UAACUGUCUCUUACAGGCAAUCGGUGAAAUUGAUCUCCCUGUGCGAAAGCAGGGAUAACCACAUAAGACGAGAAGACCCUGUGGAACUUCAAAAACAGCAACCACCCCAAUAUACCUUCACACCCACCCCGGGCUCACUUAUUCCUAAAGCACUGGUUAGCAUUUUUUCGGUUGGGGCGACCUUGGAGCAAAACAAAACCUCCAAAAACUGGACCAUACCUCCAAACUAAGAGCAACCCCUCAACGUGCUAAAAGCACCCAGACCCAAUAUAAUUGAUCAAUGGACCAAGCUACCCCAGGGAUAACAGCGCGAUCUCCCCCGAGAGUCCAUAUCGACGGGGAGGUUUACGACCUCGAUGUUGGAUCAGGACAUCCUAGUGGUGCAGGAGCUACUAAGGGUUCGUUUGUUCAACGAUUAACAGUCCUACGUGAUCUGAGUUCAGACCGGAGCAAUCCAGGUCGGUUUCUAUCUAUGAUGAACUCUUCCUCGUACGAAAGGAUCGGAAAAGUGAGGCCAAUACCACAAGCAAGCCUUCGCCUUAAGUAAUGAAGCCAACUCAAUUACAAAAGGCUAUCACACUCCACUACGUCCAAGAAAAGG
rnacentral:rRNA from 1 species